ACGGAGGAGCACGAAGGUUGGCUAAACAUGGUUGGACAUCAUGUGGUUAGUGCAAAGGCAUAAGCCAGCUUAACUGCGAGACAGACACGUCGAGCAGGUACGAAAGUAGGUCUUAGUGAUCCGGUGGUUCUGAAUGGAAGGGCCAUCGCUCAACGGAUAAAAGGUACUCCGGGGAUAACAGGCUGAUACCGCCCAAGAGUUCAUAUCGACGGCGGUGUUUGGCACCUCGAUGUCGGCUCAUCACAUCCUGGGGCUGAAGUUGGUCCCAAGGGUAUGGCUGUUCGCCAUUUAAAGUGGUACGCGAGCUGGGUUUAGAACGUCGUGAGACAGUUCGGUCCCUAUCUGCCGUGGGCGUUUGAGAAUUGAGAGGAGCUGCUCCUAGUACGAGAGGACCGGAGUGGACGAACCACUGGUGUUCGGGUUGUCAUGCCAAUGGCAUUGCCCGGUAGCUAAGUUCGGAACUGAUAACCGCUGAAAGCAUCUAAGCGGGAAGCAGGCCUCGAGAUGAGUUCUCACUGGAGCUUUAAGCUCCCUGAAGGGCCGUUGGAGACUACAACGUUGAUAGGCAAGGUGUGUAAGUGCUGUGAGGCAUUGAGCUAACUUGUACUAAUUACCCGUGAGGCUUAACCAUA
rnacentral:rRNA from 1 species